UAUAGCCGAUAAUUAUUUUGUUAUAAGUUGUAUGAUACCAUAGUUGAGUUGCAAUCAGUCUUUGCACCUACAUCCAAUUUUUUUUUUGAAUAGCAAGGAAUAUAUUAAUAAAUGACGUUACCCAUAACAAAGUAAGCCCAUAAGAUACACAACAAAUCAAGAGUAUGGUUCAAAGAACACAGGUGCACAGAACAAAAAGCUAGUAGUAGUCAAACUCAAAACGACAACAAUCAAAUAACAACUCAAAAGAGGCUCU
rnacentral:lncRNA from 1 species